rnacentral:tRNA from 1 species
ACGGGCAGCAGCACGGCCCGGAUCCCCGGGUUCGCGGCCCGGGCGGCGGUCACGAACGCCCGCACGUUCUCCUCGGUCUGCCCGCU